CUUCACACAUGGCGCUCACCUUCAGAGGGUGGCACGAAUUCUUCAAACGAGAAAAGUCGUCCAUAUUUGUUGCACCUUGAAACCAGAUUUCCUUUCCUCUUUGGCAUGACUAGUUGGUCGGUGGGCAGGGAUUGUGCCUCCCGAUCAGUUUUUCUGUCACAAAAAAACACUU